rnacentral:rRNA from 1 species
CCUACGGGAGGCAGCAGUGAGGAAUAUUGGUCAAUGGACGAGAGUCUGAACCAGCCAAGUAGCGUGAAGGAUGACUGCCCUAUGGGUUGUAAACUUCUUUUAUAAAGGAAUAAAACGAGGCACGUGUGCCUUUUUGCAUGUACCUUAUGUAUAAGGAUCGGCUAACUCCGUGCCCGCAGCCGCGGUAAUACGGAGGAUCCGAGCGUUAUCCGGAAUUAUUGGGUUUAAAGGGAGCGUAGGUGGGUUGUUAAGUCAGUUGUGAAAGUUUGGGGCUCAACCGUAAAAUUGCAAUUGAUACUGGCAGUCUAGAGUACAGUUGAGGUAGGCGGAAUUCGUGGUGUAGCGGUGAAAUGCUUAGAUAUCACGAAGAACCCCGAUUGCGAAGGCAGCUUACUAAACUGUGACUGACAUUGAUGCUCGAAAGUGUGGGUAUCAAACAGGAUUAGAUACCCGAGUAGUC